AUGCAAGCCAACAGCUGCCACGUGGAUUGAGACCUAGACCCAGCCCUCCUGCUCCCCCGGUGCCCCGGGGCGCCCCUCACUCACUCCGUAGGGCGCAGAGCAACACGCUGCGAGCCUCGGAGCCCUCCCGCCGGCUUCAGCCAGGGGAGGGGGCUCCCGCUCCGGCAGGAAGUCCGGCGGCCGCUGACUUUAUAAGGGCAGUGGCAGCGGACCGGCUGGCGGGUGUGUUUACCAGAAGGGAAAGAGCCCGAGCUCCCCCCGCUGCCGCCGCGGCGCGGGUGUGUGGAGCGGCCAGAAGGGUGAGACCGAGCAAAACAGAGAGGAGCGGGUCAAGGAAGGGCAAGAGGGAGGAAAGCAUGAAUCCGUUCUCCGGGGAAGGCGAGGAGGGGGGCCCUCAGUGCCCUCGUCUGUGAAAUGGGGCUUUGGAUUCAGACACUCCCUCAGGUCGGUUGGACACCCCCAAGAGCGUCGUUCUGAACAGAGAAGUGCGGCCAGAGGGGGCCGAGAGGAAGAGGGGAGUCGGAGGGAGCAGAGCAGUGUAAAGGGGAGGAAGGACGCGCGUGGAGACUGGACAAGGCGCUGCGGGACCCAAGGGCUCAGGUAACGGGUUUUUUUUGUAGAGCCUAGGAGUGUCGGUGGCAGCGGACCCAGGUGGCUCCCGGCGCAUGUGCAGCCCGGGACCCCGACCCCCACCCUCUGCUCACCUUGGGUGGGGGGCAGACGCCCCUCCUGCAGCCGCGGACGCCUCUGGGAGCGCAGCGCCUGGGCGGCGCGUCCACACUCUCUGUGUCCCCUGUCGGGCGGGCCCAGCCUUAACCAGCACCCGCGCUCAGCACUUUGCUGCGCGCCGGAUCCCGGCAGCCUUGGAGGUUCAGCCCGACAGCUUGGUGAUAUUCUCGUCCACUGUCACCCCUUCGGAACACGUCCGGGAGCUGGGGACCCUCCGGGCGACACCAGUCCCCGAAGCAAGACAGGCACGAAGUGGACCUACGGCGUUGAUAGUUGUAUUUAUACCCGUCCGGAGCUGCACCCCGAGACAAAUCAGGCAGCACCCUCUGUAUCCUUGAUGAAAACAACCAGAUUGGGCUGCAGCAGACAGAUCGCGACAAAAGGUCCAGAGUGAAGGUAUAGCAGUGGAAAAGGCACAAGGAGUUCUCUCUGACAAGAGCACAGUGUCAGGCUGUGAUGGUUUCACUUCUUAAAUUUCACACUAUCUCCCAGAAUUUCCAGAUCAAGGUCAAAAUCCUUAGCUUAGCACAAGGGGUCCUAGAGUAAGGGAUCUAACCCAAGAUGGUCACGGAUCCCUUUGAAAAUAUAAUAAAGUGCUAUGCUUCCACUCCCUGUGAAAACGCAUGUGUGAACACUCACACACACACACACACACAUUGAAAUUUCAGAGUUAGUGUGGACACCCUCCACAGGCGCCAGGGGUCCAGGGACCUCCACGGCUGUAAUGCUUGGCCUUCCUCAUCCCCAACCCUUAUUUCCAUGUUUUCCCUUCCUGAACUAUCAGCUCCCUGAGGGCAAGGGCCUGGUCUAUUGUGUUCACUGCUGUAUCUCCAGCACCUAGAACAGCCCUUGGUACCGAAGAGGUAUUCAGGAAUCACCUGUGGAAGGAAGUGUGGAGCCAGCUGCUUUUGCACCUCUUCCUUCUUAUGGGGUGACAG
ensembl:lncRNA